UACGGAGGAUGCGAGCGUUAUCCGGAUUUAUUGGGUUUAAAGGGUGCGCAGGCGGAUUUUUAAGUCAGCGGUCAAAUCGUGGGGCUCAACCCCAUCCAGCCGUUGAAACUGGGGAUCUAGAGUGUGCGAGAGGUAUGCGGAAUGCGUGGUGUAGCGGUGAAAUGCGUAGAUAUACGGAGGAACACCAGUGGCGAAGGCGGCUGUCUGGUCUGCAACUGACGCUGAGGCUCGAAAGCAUGGGUAGCGAACAGG
rnacentral:rRNA from 1 species